GUGCUCAUUUUGGCAGCACAUGCACUGAAAUUGGAAUGAUACAGAGAAGAUUAGCAUGGCCCCUGUGCAAGGAUGACACACAAAUCUGUGAAGUGUUCCAUAUUUUU
rnacentral:snRNA from 1 species